UCCCUACGGGGUGCACCAGGCGCGAAAACUUUACAAUGCGGGCAACCGUGAUAAGGGAACCUCGAGUGCCUGUAUAUGCAGGCUGUCCAGGUGUCUAAAACACACCUGAAGAAAGGGCCGGGCAAGACCGGUGCCAGCCGCCGCGGUAAUUCA
rnacentral:rRNA from 1 species